AGAGUUUGAUCCUGGCUCAGGAUGAACGCUGGCGGCGUGCUUAACACAUGCAAGUCGAACGGGAAACUUUUCAUUGAAGCUUCGGCAGAUUUGGUCUGUUUCUAGUGGCGGACGGGUGAGUAACGCGUGGGUAACCUGCCUUAUACAGGGGGAUAACAACCAGAAAUGGUUGCUAAUACCGCAUAAGCGCACAGGACCGCAUGGUCCGGUGUGAAAAACUCCGGUGGUAUAAGAUGGACCCGCGUUGGAUUAGCUAGUUGGCAGGGUAACGGCCUACCAAGGCGACGAUCCAUAGCCGGCCUGAGAGGGUGAACGGCCACAUUGGGACUGAGACACGGCCCAAACUCCUACGGGAGGCAGCAGUGGGGAAUAUUGCACAAUGGGGGAAACCCUGAUGCAGCGACGCCGCGUGAGCGAUGAAGUAUUUCGGUAUGUAAAGCUCUAUCAGCAGGGAAGAAAAUGACGGUACCUGACUAAGAAGCCCCGGCUAACUACGUGCCAGCAGCCGCGGUAAUACGUAGGGGGCAAGCGUUAUCCGGAUUUACUGGGUGUAAAGGGAGCGUAGACGGCAUGGCAAGCCAGAUGUGAAAGCCCGGGGCUCAACCCCGGGACUGCAUUUGGAACUGUCAGGCUAGAGUGUCGGAGAGGAAAGCGGAAUUCCUAGUGUAGCGGUGAAAUGCGUAGAUAUUAGGAGGAACACCAGUGGCGAAGGCGGCUUUCUGGACGAUGACUGACGUUGAGGCUCGAAAGCGUGGGGAGCAAACAGGAUUAGAUACCCUGGUAGUCCACGCCGUAAACGAUGA
rnacentral:rRNA from 1 species